UCCACUCUGUUCUAAUGACAUUCCCUGGGA
rnacentral:piRNA from 1 species